GUCGAGCGAGCUGAAUUCAAAGAUCCUUCGGGUGAUUUGUUGGACGCUAGCGGCGGAUGGGUGAGUAACACGUGGGCAAUCUGCCCUAAAGACUGGGAUACCACUUGGAAACAGGUGCUAAUACCGGAUAACAACAUGAAUCGCAUGAUUCAAGUUUGAAAGGCGGCGCAAGCUGUCACUUUAGGAUGAGCCCGCGGCGCAUUAGCUAGUUGGUGGGGUAAAGGCCUACCAAGGCAAUGAUGCGUAGCCGAGUUGAGAGACUGAUCGGCCACAUUGGGACUGAGACACGGCCCAAACUCCUACGGGAGGCAGCAGUAGGGAAUCUUCCACAAUGGACGCAAGUCUGAUGGAGCAACGCCGCGUGAGUGAAGAAGGUUUCGGAUCGUAAAGCUCUGUUGUUGGUGAAGAAGGAUAGAGGCAGUAACUGGUCUUUAUUUGACGGUAAUCAACCAGAAAGUCACGGCUAACUACGUGCCAGCAGCCGCGGUAAUACGUAGGUGGCAAGCGUUGUCCGGAUUUAUUGGGCGUAAAGCGAGCGCAGGCGGAAUGAUAAGUCUGAUGUGAAAGCCCACGGCUCAACCGUGGAACUGCAUCGGAAACUGUCAUUCUUGAGUGCAGAAGAGGAGAGUGGAACUCCAUGUGUAGCGGUGGAAUGCGUAGAUAUAUGGAAGAACACCAGUGGCGAAGGCGGCUCUCUGGUCUGCAACUGACGCUGAGGCUCGAAAGCAUGGGUAGCGAACAGGAUUAGAUACCCUGGUAGUCCAUGCCGUAAACGAUGAGCGCUAGGUGUUGGGGACUUUCCGGUCCUCAGUGCCGCAGCAAACGCAUUAAGCGCUCCGCCUGGGGAGUACGACCGCAAGGUUGAAACUCAAAGGAAUUGACGGGGGCCCGCACAAGCGGUGGAGCAUGUGGUUUAAUUCGAAGCAACGCGAAGAACCUUACCAGGUCUUGACAUCCUGCGCUACACCUAGAGAUAGGUGGUUCCCUUCGGGGACGCAGAGACAGGUGGUGCAUGGCUGUCGUCAGCUCGUGUCGUGAGAUGUUGGGUUAAGUCCCGCAACGAGCGCAACCCUUGUCUUUAGUUGCCAUCAUUAAGUUGGGCACUCUAGAGAGACUGCCGGUGACAAACCGGAGGAAGGUGGGGAUGACGUCAAGUCAUCAUGCCCCUUAUGACCUGGGCUACACACGUGCUACAAUGGGCAGUACAACGAGAAGCGAACCCGCGAGGGUAAGCGGAUCUCUUAAAGCUGUUCUC
rnacentral:rRNA from 1 species